rnacentral:rRNA from 1 species
UACGUAGGGCGCAAGCGUUGUCCGGAAUUAUUGGGCGUAAAGAGCUCGUAGGCGGUCUGUCACGUCUGCCGUGAAAACCCGAGGCUUAACCUCGUGGCUUGCGGUGGAUACGGGCAGACUAGAGGUAGGUAGGGGAGAACGGAAUUCCCGGUGUAGCGGUGAAAUGCGUAGAGAUCGGGAGGAACACCUGUGGCGAAGGCGGCCCCCUGGGCCGGCCCUGACACUGAGACGCGAAGGCGUGGGGAGCGAACGGG